GAUGAACGCUGGCGGCGUGCCUAAUACAUGCAAGUCGAGCGAACAGAUGAGGAGCUUGCUCCUUUGACGUUAGCGGCGGACGGGUGAGUAACACGUGGAUAACCUACCUAUAAGACUGGGAUAACUUCGGGAAACCGGGGCUAAUACCGGAUAAUAUUUAGAACCGCAUGGUUCUAUAGUGAAAGAUGGUUUUGCUAUCACUUAUAGAUGGACCCGCGCCGUAUUAGCUAGUUGGUAAGGUAACGGCUUACCAAGGCAACGAUACGUAGCCGACCUGAGAGGGUGAUCGGCCACACUGGAACUGAGACACGGUCCAGACUCCUACGGGAGGCAGCAGUAGGGAAUCUUCCGCAAUGGGCGAAAGCCUGACGGAGCAACGCCGCGUGAGUGAUGAAGGUCUUCGGAUCGUAAAACUCUGUUAUUAGGGAAGAACAAAUGUGUAAGUAACUGUGCACGUCUUGACGGUACCUAAUCAGAAAGCCACGGCUAACUACGUG
rnacentral:rRNA from 1 species